GAUGAACGCUGGCGGCGUGCCUAAUACAUGCAAGUCGAGCGAACAGACGAGGAGCUUGCUCCUCUGACGUUAGCGGCGGACGGGUGAGUAACACGUGGAUAACCUACCUAUAAGACUGGGAUAACUUCGGGAAACCGGAGCUAAUACCGGAUAAUAUAUUGAACCGCAUGGUUCAAUAGUGAAAGACGGUUUUGCUGUCACUUAUAGAUGGAUCCGCGCCGCAUUAGCUAGUUGGUAAGGUAACGGCUUACCAAGGCAACGAUGCGUAGCCGACCUGAGAGGGUGAUCGGCCACACUGGAACUGAGGCACGGUCCAGACUCCUACGGGAGGCAGCAGUAGGGAAUCUUCCGCAAUGGGCGAAAGCUUGACGGAGCAACGCCGCGUGAGUGAUGAAGGUCUUCGGAUCGUAAAACUCUGUUAUUAGGGAAGAACAAAUGUGUAAGUAACUAUGCACGUCUUGACGGUACCUAAUCAGAAAGCCACGGCUAACUACGUG
rnacentral:rRNA from 1 species